rnacentral:lncRNA from 1 species
AUUUUAUUUUUUAAAUUUUAUUUCAUAUGAAACCUUCUUGUCACGUGUUAUUCAUAUAUGCAGUAUAAUAAUAAGCUUAUAUCAUGUAAAUACAUCCAUAAAGUAUUUUAUAUAAGACAAUAACAAUCAAAACUAAGGAGUAACCAGAGACUCAUAAAACCAAAAGACAUUUACAUCAACAGUUACAAAUAAUAAGUAGGAAACAACACGAACUCCACUAAAUUCCAGGAGUGAAAUCAAAUGCUCCUGAAGGGUAAGCAUUACCUGCACCGUAUACGACACCCGUCAUGUUAUUUCUUUGUUCAGCUCGGUAAUGAUAGAAGGUUGUUACGACUGAGGAAGAAUAUCACAGAGAUAUAUAUGAUUGCUGACACACUUUUGUCAUAAUGGCCUAUCAGCUCAUGAUGGCGACCAUAAAAUUGCUUGAGUGAUGACCUUAAUUUGAUUGAUUUAUAGCCC